GAACAGCCUUCUUCAAAAUGCAGCUGGACUGUGAUCCAUGGCAAAACACUGGAAUAACUCUGCCAGGUCCGAAAACCUUUGAGAUUCAUCCCAUUGAACUUGAUACAUACAGAACAACACCUUGAAAACGAACCAUCUGCUAGUUCAGUAUUUUCUUCUUACAAUCACUCCCUCCUGGGGUAUGUAAUUAAUUUCCUGAGCUUUAAAAGAAAAAGUU
rnacentral:lncRNA from 1 species